UAAUGUUCACUAUGCACAAGUUAAAAAAGUAGUCAUAACUUAUAAAGUUCAGCCAAAAGUCUGAAUUUAUAUUCUUACCAAUUUAUGUACUUUUAAGAGAAUUAAUCUACAUAUUUUGAAUGUUUCAGAUACCUUAUCUGGUAACAGAGAUACUAUUUUACAUGCAAUCUAUUAAAUGGAAAAAAAUAUUUCAAGAUGUGUUAAUAGACUGACUUCAAUCAAAAUAAAAUGUAAGAAGAAAAUUGAAAUUACGUAAAUUAUCUAACGACCUCAGAAGAAUAUAUAGGUUUCAAUAUAUUUACCUAUAAGUAAUUAAAAUAUUAUGAAGAAUAAAAUACGCUUUGAAAAAGAAGACAGCUUCUGGAGAUUGAUCAAGUAUGAGUAAAUGCUGUAUUGCUGCUUCUGGUGUAUCAUCUUCAAAUCAGAAAUUGAAGAGGGUAACUACUGUCACCUACAAUGCAAAUAUUGAUGGAUGAUUUGAUUGGAACCAAACAAAACAAUGCCAUCAACCUACUAAAGUAUUUUUAGAAAGUAUUCUUAAUGUGCAUUAAAAAAAAUCAAUAAAUUUUCACCAACUAAGUAAUGAAA